CAAGCCUGAAGGCACGGCACCGCCUCAGUUCCUGAUCCCACAGUUUAACCGCUCCUCCUUCUUUUGACCUAAGUAAAUAACCAAGCCAGACAAGGAAGCACAUAACUCCAAUUGCUACUGCAGCCAUUUUCAUGACCACAAAUGCAACCAGCCUUAUCGGUGAAGCCAACACUGUGGAUAGCAGAGCAGAAGAGACGGAAAGUCCCUGGGUUCUGGAUGACAUCAUGAAACUCCUGAAGCAGCACACUCCGGAGGCUACCCUCCCUCUUCAUUCUUGUGUGCUAAGGAAUUUCCUUAUCCUCUGCUGUAAAAUGCAGACACCCACUGAAGUUAUUUGAUGGGCAACUGCCUGUCACUACAAAUACUACCAGAGAAAACACGGUCUUGCUGUUGCCCAGGCUGGACUUGAACUCCUGGCCUCAAGUGGAACUCCUGUCUCAGCCUCCCAGAGUGCUGGGAUUACAGGUGUGAGCCACUAUACCCCACCUGUCAUCUCAUUUGAUUACAAUACAAUCCAUGCUUCACUGUGCCUUAAAAGUGUGAUAUUCAAAAACUAUUUUUGUUUUUUGUACCCUUGUCUUGACAUGAUGGAGAUUUACUAGUU